rnacentral:rRNA from 1 species
CGUAGGGUGCGAGCGUUAAUCGGAAUUACUGGGCGUAAAGCGUGCGCAGGCGGUUCGCCAAGUCAGGUGUGAAAUCCCCGGGCUUAACCUGGGAAUUGCGCUUGAAACUAGCGGGCUUGAGUGUGGCAGAGGGGGUGGAAUUCCACGUGUAGCAGUGAAAUGCGUAGAGAUGUGGAGGAACACCGAUGGCGAAGGCAGCCCCCUGGGUCAACACUGACGCUCAUGCACGAAAGCGUGGGGAGCAAACAGGAUUAGAUACCCUGGUAGUCCACGCCCUAAACGAUGUCGACUAGGUGUUGGGGAAGGAGACUUCCUUAGUACCGCAGCUAACGCGUGAAGUCGACCGCCUGGGGAGUACGGUCGCAAGAUUAA